AUGAAACCUGUGUAUCCUCCAUAUUUAAAUUUCAGGCUUUGGAACAUAUGCUUUCUUCCUGUCAUGUGUAGAGAGCAUCCAGAGCCCAGUUGUUACAACUGGUGUUUCAACUUUGCUGUUAAAGAUAUCUGCAACAUAGAUGAUUUUAUCCUUUGGUACCCAUAUCUCUUUGGGUCCAUAAUUGUUAGAGUUUCCAAAAUUCUAUUUGAAUUUUAG